CGUUAAAAACGAAAGCGAAACAGGAAGUAAUGUCUGUUAAGUCGUUCGUUUUCUGGUUAUGGAAAAGAAGAGGAUAAAAUGGACUGAUUGAUACAGAGAUCCAGGAGGUACUGAAAAAGGGACAAUGCUUCGACUGAAUGUGUCAUCCAUGUACCAGUGUAGACCUGUUAAUGAGGCAUAUCCAAUAAUUCUUAUACUCAUGAAGAGUGCGGCAACUCCCAAGUAGUUAAGGAUGGCAAGCAUUUUAAAUCAGAUCCUCACUUCUAGGAUGUUUUCCAUGUUCUUGUGAAAAGUGUUUUACAUGGCACCAUUCAGCUACAAAUACUUUGCCGGUGGAACUGUGACAUCAAUCAACUGCUCAUGCCACUGCUAAUUGGCAGAAUUUCCUUUGGGACAAACAAACUGUUUCAAAUAUUUAACACCUGCAAGUAGUGAUGAGUGUACUGGAAGUUUUUUCGGGAUCUUGUCCGACAUCAUAGGUACAACUGGUCACUGUGCUUUCUUGGUUAUAUAAGCAGGCAUAUUGUUAAAGCGGUGACACAUGUAGCUUCAAAUGAUACUUGACUGUUUAAGUGUUUUUCUUUGAUUUAUAAGUAAACCUCGAUUGAUCUCUGAUGCAGUAAUAUAGAGCCAUGUCCAUUCUUUAAUAUUCCAUCAUCCCACUGUCACAAAGUACUGAAAUAAAAAUGAUUUUGAUUUUAAAAA